UACCUGCAGCUCGAGUGGUGGCCGCUAUUAUUGGGCCUAAAACGUCCGUAGCCGGUUUAAUAAAUGCCUGGGUAAAUCGUGUAGCUUAACUAUACGAAUUCCGGAUAGACUGUUGGACUUGAGACCGGGAGAAGCUAGAGGUACUCCUGGGGUAGAGGUGAGAUUCUGUAAUCCUAGGGGGACCACCAGUGGCGAAGGCGUCUAGCUAGAACGGGUCUGACGGUGAGGGACGAAGCCCUGGGGCGCAAACCGGAUUAGAUACCCGGGUAGUCCAGGGUGUAAACGCUGCUUGCUUGAUGUUAGUUGGGCUCGUGAGCCCAAUUAGUGUCGGAGAGAAGUUGUUAAGCAAGCUGCCUGGGAAGUACGGUCGACAAGACUAGAAAACUUAAAGGAAUUGGGCGGGGAGCGACAGCAACGGGUGGAGCGUGCGGUUU
rnacentral:rRNA from 1 species